UACGUAGGGUGCAAGCGUUAAUCGGAAUUACUGGGCGUAAAGCGUGCGCAGGCGGUUUUGUAAGACUGUCGUGAAAUCCCCGGGCUCAACCUGGGAAUGGCGAUGGUGACUGCAAGGCUAGAGUUUAGCAGAGGGGGGUAGAAUUCCACGUGUAGCAGUGAAAUGCGUAGAUAUGUGGAGGAACACCGAUGGCGAAGGCAGCCCCCUGGGUCAAAACUGACGCUCAUGCACGAAAGCGUGGGGAGCAAACAGG
rnacentral:rRNA from 1 species